UCCGGCUUGACGCCGGCAGUCCCCCGAGAGUCCUCAGCAUUACCUGUUAGUAACACGGGGCAAGGGUUGCGCUCGUUGCGGGACUUAACCCAACAUCUCACAACACGAGCUGACGACAGCCAUGCAGCACCUCUGUACAGACCUCCGAAGAGGGGGACUCAUCUCUGAGCCUUUCCUGUACAGUUCAAACCCAGGUAAGGUUCUGCGCGUUGCUUCGAAUUAAGCAACAUGCUCCGCCGCUUGUGCGGGCCCCCGUCAAUUCCCUUGAGUUUUAGCCUUGCGGCCGUACUCCCCAGGCGGGGCACUUAAUGCGUUAGCUACGGCACGGAACCCGUUGAUAAGGCCCCACACCUAGUGCCCAACGUUUACGGCGUGGACUAC
rnacentral:misc_RNA from 1 species